CUCUACGGAACUCACCCACAUCUCGAGUUCGAUCCCUCUUGGGUAACUUACCAUAGUUGGUUCAGCUCAAAUCACUUCUUUUUUCUGUUGUAUGAGUCAAAACAGGUUGGAUCAGGCCAAUUCCGCAAAAAAAGUUUCUCCUUUUUUAUGAAUUUUAUAAAUAAUUAGCAGUUGGGUAUGAUCAUAGAUGUACAAGAUUGCAUUAUUUUAAUUACAGCUAUAAUGUUAACUUUUUUUAUAAAUUAUAGAAGGUUUUAUGCAUUUGAAUACAUUUCGGAUUACUUUCAAGGGGAUGACUACCCAGUUCCUCCUCCGUCGUUCCUUUAAGGUGGAAAGCUGGCAUACGGCCUUGUGCAUGCGGUAGCUGGUGGUUUGGAUGUUAUUGUGCCAAUGGGCAAAUGCAUUGUUACUCGGGGCUUUUCUUCAGAAUUUGUUAUGCUAUUGCAAAACAUUUCAGGGUCAUUGUAACAAAUAUUCAACUUGAGUGAGUUUUUUGGAUGGAUCAACUAGGCAUGACUUCACUUGCAAAAGUACUAAAGAUAUGUUUGUUAUGCAGGCAGCCCGGUCAGAGCGUCAAUAAGUGCUGAGUGCUUUGGCCAUUCUCUUGCCUUAUGCCACCACCCUCUUUAUGUCGGAUGCUUCUGCUGCUGCAUCUGCACAUCAUGCUUUGAAUGAUGAUAUAAUAUAAUUUCAUUUCAAAUGCAUGUUAGCCAUUGUUGCAUCAGAGCAAAAAAGAGUGUAAUGUUUAACUUGGUAAUGCUUUUUAUUUUUUUUUCAUUAUAUAUGACAUUUAUUUUCAGACUA